CGCGGGGUGGAGCAGCCUGGUAGCUCGCCGGGCUCAUAACCCGAAGGUCGUCGGUUCAAAUCCGGCCCCCGCAACCA
rnacentral:tRNA from 4 species